UUUACUUACCUCUGUUACCUUUAUUUGUGUCUGUCACUCCACUAGCCUUUCUCUAGUAACUGCCUAUUAAAGUCAAGACUCAGGUAGACUGCCUUUUCUGGAAAAAUCUUCAUUAUUCGAACUGCAUUGCUAGAGGUGAUCUUUCCACUCACACUUUACAGUCCUUUUUGCUUUAUGUAGCACCCACUAUACUAUAGCCCAUCUUGUAACUAAUUUGGAUACAUGCUAAUAGUGCCUGAAAACAACUCUUAAAUUAUUUCAUAGUCCAGGAGGAGAUCGUUCACAGAGCUGGGUCCUUAAUAGGUCUUCAGUAGAUUUCCAUUAAAGAAUGAAUAAAACCCAUUACAUAAUGUCUUAUUACCAGCCCAUAAAGAUGGAAAAUGGGGCAGCCAGCCGGCCUGGAGGAGGGCGGUGCGGUUCUGGGGCGCUGCGGACCCCUCCACCCUGGACGGCGUCCCCUCCCUGGCCCUCUCCGGCUUACCCGCCUGCCAGGCCACUCGCCCCGUAGGCUCUCGCAUCGGGGAUCGUGGGGCGAGCUGAGAGCAGGCCCGGGGAGGGUGGGCACGAGGCACCAUUCCUGUCAGGAUGAUAGAGGUACUGACAACUGACUCAGAAACUGCUGCACCAGCUAAACGCCCUGUUGGAACAGGAGUCUAGAUGUCAGCCAAAGGUCUGUGGCUUGAAGCUAAUUGAGUCUGCACAUGAUAAUGGCCUGAGAGUGACUGCAAGGCUCAGGGACUUUGAAGUAAAAGAUCUACUCGGUCUAACUCAUUUCUUCGGCUUCGACACGGAGACAUUUUCUCUAGCUGUGAAUUUACUGGACAGAUUCCUGCUAAAAUGAAGGUACAGGCAAAACAUCUUGGGUAUAUUGGACUGAGCUGCUUUUAUUUGGCUGUAAAGUCAAUAGAGGAGGAAAGGAAUGUCCCAUUGGCAACUGACUUGAUCCGAAUAAGUCAGUACAGGUUCGUGGUUUCAGACUUGAUGAGAAUGGAAAAGAUUAUGUUGGAGAAGGUGUGUUGGAAAGUCAAAGCCACUACUGCCUUUCAAUUUUUGCAACUCUAUUAUUCACUCAUUCAAGAGAACUUGCCAUUUGAAAGGAGAAAGUGUCUUAAUUUUGAAAGACUAGAAGCUCAGCUUAAGGCAUGCCACUGCAGGAUCAUAUUUUCUAAAGCAAAGCCUUCUGUGCUGGCACUGUCCAUCAUUGCUUUGGAAAUCCAAGCACUGAAGUGUGGAGAGUUAAUGGAAGAAGUAGAAUGUCUUCAGAAACAUUUCAAGGUAAAUGGCCGAGAUUUGAUGUUCUGGCAAGAGCUCAUAUCUAAGUGGUUAACUGAAUAUUCAUCAAACAAGUGUUCCAAACCAAAUGUUCAGAAGUUGAAAUGGAUUGUUUCUGGGCGGACUGCAAGACAGUUGAAGCACAGUUACUACAGAAUAACUCACCUUCCAACAAUUCCUGAGAUAGCAUCUUAAUUGGUAAAUUUGGUUGUUAUUCUUAGCCAGGCGUGGUGGCACCUGCCUUUAAUCCCAGCACUUGGGAGGCAGAGGCAGGUGGUGGGGCUACAGGGAGACCCUGUCUCAAAAAGACCAAAAAAAAAAAAAUUGAUUCUUAUUCUCUAUAUAGGGAAAAUUUACCAGUGCGAUAUUCUUUUACAAUUGAAAAAUUCAAAUAUUAUAUUCAACAUAAACAAUAUGGGAGUGAAAUAGUAAAGGGAAACAUGACUUCACUGAUCUAGUUAGCAAAUAUUUAAAAGCAGUAACUGUGUACAAGGCACAGCAUUCUUGAGGGAAAGGACUUACCCAAUUCUAAAUGUGUUGGCAAUUUCAUUAAAUUAUUAGCAUCCUCCAAUCCUGAAUUUUUAAUGCGGUACUGAAUUAGUAUUUACUAAAUUGCAUAUCAUUUCGCUGUAGCUUAUUUAAAGUUACACAAGCCCAAGUAUGACAACAAAACCAAAAGUUUGACCCAUAUUUGAAUAAGUUUGAGUUUGUUAGCGGCAAGCAAAAGUAUUAUGACUGUGAGUGCUGUACUUCAAAGAAAUAUGGUGCAGAUAGUCUGUAUGUUAGGUUUCUGGAAAUUGUUAGGGUGUCUCAACUCUAUACGUAUUUCAUUGCUAUAGCAGUUGGACUGUUAGAGAGUAAUUAUAUGCAUUAAGAACUGUAAACUUGGUCACUGGUAUGUAUACGUUUUUGCCAUCCAAAUUUCUUAAUGCACAGUAAUGAUUUGUCCUUUUUUGUUUAAAACUAAAUGUUGCUUGUGAGAUGGCUUGGCAGGAAAGGGCACUUGCAGCCAAGUCUGACAUCCUGAGUUCCAUCCCCAGGAACCACGUGGUAGAAGGAGAAAACCAAAUCCCCCAGGUUGGUUGUUGACCUCCACACGUGUGCUCCCCACCCUCACCCACACAUAAGAAAUAUAUGUUUUUAAAAAAAUUAAAAACCUAAAAGUCAACAUUUAACACAUCUAUGUAGGGUUAUGAAUCUUAGAUAUGAACAUAAAUAAUAUAAAUAUGAACAUAAAUAUGAAUAUGAAAUAAAUAUGAAUAUAAAAAUUUAAAUUAAUGAAGUUUGCAUCAAAACCAACAUUUCACAAAUGCACUUUUAAGGCAUUAUAAGGGUUAAUAUUUUAGGCAGUAAAUGGUUUCUUGGAACCCAUAAUGCAAGUAAUUGAUAAUUCAGAAAUGGAGUUUUUAUUGCCAUAUGAGAAUUACAUUUAAACUUUUAUGCAUUUUAUAUAAA